rnacentral:lncRNA from 1 species
AAGUGACAUGAGCUUCUAUGGAACUGGUUUUAUCAUAGACUUCUGAAAGUCUAUUGUCAAUCUUUUCCAGGUAGUAAUUCUGGGCAACAGCAUUAUUUGUCUGCCAGUUCAAAACCUCUUCUGUGGCUGAGAGAGGGGCCAAACUGCCUGCAGGUUGGACUGUAUCCUUCACAAUGAAAGGACGGGCAGGCGCUUUGGUCUGUAUGGCACUGCGACUGGCUCUGGAAUCUUUACUGGUUCAAAAGAACAAGAGCAAACUACUGGAGGAGGAGGACAAGUCAAAAGCCCUUCCUUUAAU